GGAGAGGUGGCCGAGUUGGUUUAAGGCGUCAGUCUCGAAAACUGAUAUACGGGAAACCGUAUCGGGGGUUCGAAUCCCCCCCUCUCCGCCA
rnacentral:tRNA from 1 species